rnacentral:rRNA from 1 species
UUAUCCGUUAGGUGUGUCACCGAAUAGCAUGCUACCCGACGACUGGCAUUCAUCGUUUACGGUGUGGACUACCAGGGUAUCUAAUCCUGUUUGCUCCCCACACUUUCGCACCUCAGCGUCAGUAUCGAGCCAGUGAGCCGCCUUCGCCACUGGUGUUCCUGCGAAUAUCUACGAAUUUCACCUCUACACUCGCAAUUCCACUCACCUCUCUCGAACUCAAGACUACCAGUAUCAAAGGCAGUUCCGGGGUUGAGCCCCGGGAUUUCACCUCUGACUUAAUAGUCCGCCUACGCGCGCUUUACGCCCAGUAAUUCCGAACAACGCUAACCCCCUCCGUAUUACCGCGGCUGCUGGCACGGAGUUAGCCGGGGUUUCUUUACUGGGUACAGUCAUUAUCUUCCCCAGCGAAAGAGCUUUACGACCCUAGGGCCUUCGUCACUCACGCGGCAUGGCUAGAUCAGGGUUUCCCCCAUUGUCUAAGAUUCCCCACUGCUGCCUCCCGUAGGAGUCUGGGCCGUGUCUCAGUCCCAGUGUGGCUGAUCAUCCUCUCAAACCAGCUAUAGAUCGUAGGCUUGGUAGGCCGUUACCCCACCAACUACCUAAUCUAACGCGGGCCGAUCCUUCUCCGAUAAAUCUUUCCCCCGAAGGGCGUAUAAGGUAUUACUCACCGUUUCCAGUGGCUAUUCCUUAGAGAAGGGCACGUUCCCACGCGUUACUCACCCGUCCGCCGCUAAGACCGAAGUCUUCGCUCGACUUGCAUGUGUUAAGCCU